CCCAUCACCAUUCUUGGUACCGUGGUUACCACCCACAACUAAGUGAUGGAACAGAAUUCUACAUCAGUAUUAAGGCAAUUAACAAAGCUGGAAAAGAAACUGUUCAGGGAUUAGGACCGAUCUUAGUUCAUACUAUUCCCCCUACUGUUGGUGGUGAGGUAUUGGUUAAAUUUGAGGAUGAUAUAUUGGAGGCCUAUUGGUCAGCAGCAGUUGUAUCUGAUCCCGAGUCGUCGCAACUUACUUUUACAGCGGCCGUAGGUAGUUCACCAGGAACCGAAGACGUGUAUCCGUAUUCUUCAUUAUCGUUUGGCGGAAUCUGCACGUUAGCUAACCCACUAACCUGUACAGCUUUUUCCAUGGAGGAUCUUCAUUGGGAUUUACAUCACAACUUUACCUACUAUGUAUCUAUAAGAGUAGAGAAUAUAGUAGGAUU